AGAUAAAAUGCGACUCCUUGCCCUCACCGCGGUGUGGGUGACAUUCAUCACGGCUCUGAGCGAUGAUGAUUCCGUGAUUCAGCAUGAGUCCGCGCUCACAAUGACAGAGGAGCAGCACGUCACUUUAACCUGCAGCUACACCAGUGCUACUUAUUAUGUAUAUUGGUAUCGCCAGAACCCAUCCGGACGGCUCGAGUUUGCGGUCCUGAGAGCCACUACUGGCGGAUAUGCACUUAAGGCGGACUUUGCUGAAGGCCGGUUUUCUGAUGUAGUCCAGCGGUCAAAGGAGGAGUAUCGAUUGACAAUCCCGGCGCUACGGUUGUCUGACACAGCGAUGUAUUACUGUGCGGGGACUCACAAUAACAUGAACGGGCUAAAUCCUCGUGCAGUAACUGCCGCAGAUUUUGGGGCACAGCUGUUGUCUGUUACGGGCCGCUUGUAA